rnacentral:hammerhead_ribozyme from 1 species
AUUCAGCUGACGAGUCUCAAAUAGGACGAAGUGACGCGCAUCCUCGAU